UUGCAACAAAUCCAACGAAUCAGAUUAAAUUCAUCAAAUCAUUUAAUUAAUUUAAAGCAACCGUAUAAUUAAGUCUACAAUUCUAAAAGGUUAUAUGCGUCAAUAUCUUUCCAUAAGAUUUUAGGAAACUUAAUCAGAACCCAGAAAUCUCUCUAUUUCCUUGAAGACGCUGAUACCAUGGAGAUUUCAACGAAUUCUUAUGAUAAGUUUUUUAGUGUUAUUUUGUUAUUCAUAUUUCUUUCCAGCAACAAUUCUGGGGUUCGAAGAAUACAUCCAUGAAUCGCCUAGAAGACGAAGCACCUUCUGUUUGUUGGCAAUGGUUCCAUACGCUGAUCUUGUUCGAGAAAGAAAUCAAUGGAUUGCCAAACAAAAGAAGAAGAAGGAAUGUAAAAAUAAGGAGGUCUUACCGGAAGGUUGAAGUGUGGUAAAAUGAGACUUGUACCUGUACAAGUUAUUAAAGUUCUUAUAUGCAUAACAUUGAAAAUUUAGUUCACCUCACGAACUGAUAUAUCAAUGUCAUGUUCACAGAUGUGCAGAAUGACGUUCAAGAAAAAGAGACGGUUCAAAAGACGCAUACCUAAUAGAUGUUCAUUUGAUCUUUUUUGGUUAGUUUUGUGUAAUAACUUGUUGUGUAUUUAUUCAGAAGGUUGUGCUCCCAACGAACUAGUAAGAAAGAGAAGUAGGUUGUCUUUGCAAAAGGUUAAAGGCCAAGAUAAAGGGAGACCAAAGAAGAAUGGUGAUUCUAACCCAAAGGGUGACAGCUGUAGCGAGAUACCGAGCGCUAUUGAGGAGCUUCCGUUAGUGGCUACGAAUACAACCAAUUAUAGAUCACUUCAUACGUGAACUACACCGGCCGCUUUCCAUGAUAUCUUGCCCAAGUUAAACGACGCACAGAGAGCUGUUGUUCGUGAGAUGGGCUUUGUGUAUUAGUUAGAAUUGUUAGAUUUAGAAUAAUAAAUAAUGUUACAGAUUGCUAGUCUUUUAUGCUAAUUACUUAUAAACUCUGCAUGAUGACUAUGCUCGGCACUAUUUGGACAAUUGCGUACAUGUUAUGUAAAAAUGGAAACUGAACG